rnacentral:misc_RNA from 1 species
UGGUUCUGGCAUNGAUGAAGAACGCAGCGAAAUGCGAUAAGUAAUGUGAAUUGCGGAAUUCAGUGAAUCAUCGAAUCUUUGAACGCACAUUGCGCCCUCUGGUAUUCCGGGGGGCAUGCCUGUCCGAGCGUCAUUACAACCCUCAAGCUCUGCUUGGUAUUGGGUGCCACCCCCGGGUGCAUCUCAAACUUAGUGGCGGUGCCACCUGGCGUCAAGCGUAGUAACUUUCUCGCUUUGGAGCCUUGGUGUGCUCUUGCCAUCAACCCCAAUUUUCAAAGGUUGACCUCGGAUCAGGUAGGGAUACCCGCUGA